rnacentral:lncRNA from 1 species
AGGCUUCUGAGGCAAUCGGGCAGUGUCAGUCUUCAGCUGCUAAGCCAAGAAGAUCUGGGAAGGAGUCAGUCAGAGAGCCUUGGGCCAGAGUUCGAGGGGCUUUGGAAGCGGCUGCCAGUGUGCUGGAACUUCUCCACUGGUAUCGUGCCACCGCACUCCAGCCUGGGUGACAGAGCAAGACUCCAUCUCAAAAACAACAAAAACAAAAACUUCUCCACUGGACUCCCAGACUCCCACUAUUCAUGAGUACUUGUCAAAACUGAUGCCUCUGCAAAAGAAUAACAGUAGAAAGCUUCUAUUCUGUCAACUUGCUGACAUCCCAAAGCUGGUUUAUUAAGAAUGUCAUGCUUUGUAUAUAAUAUUGAUAA